GCGCAUUCAGCCGAAGAGGAAGAACGGAGGCGGAGAGCUCCCCGCCCGUCGCUGGAAAAAAAAGUAAGUUUAACCCCUUUCCUCGCCAUCCAGCCCGGCGGGAGGGGGACCCUGAGGGUGUGAGCACCCUCAGGGCACUAUAGUGCCAGUAAAACGAGUAUGUUUUCCUGGCACUAUAGUGGUCCUUUAAGCUCUAGUAGUUCUGGUGACUAUAAUGUCCUCUUUAACGGAGUAGUACUAAAUGCAAGUAAGCAAUUUAUCUCACAGUGUAAUCAUUACCCUGUUUAGGGAUUUUGU